GAGAUGACUCUUUCCGGACACAA
rnacentral:siRNA from 1 species